AGCGAACGCUGGGCGGCAGGCUUAACACAUGCAAGUCGAGCGGGCCUUUCGGGGUCAGCGGCGGACGGGUGAGUAACGCGUGGGAACGUGCCCUCUGGUUCGGAAUAACUCAGGGAAACUUGAGCUAAUACCGGAUACGCCCUUUUGGGGAAAGGCUUGCUGCCGGAGGAUCGGCCCGCGCCCUAUCAGCUUGUUGGUGGGGUAAUGGGCCUACCAAGGCGACGACGGGUAGCCGGCCUGAGAGGGUGACCGGGCCACACUGGGACUGAGAUACGGCCCAGACUCCUACGGGAGGCAGCAGUGGGGAAUAUUGCACAAUGGGCGCAAGCCUGAUGCAGCGACGCCGCGUGAGGGAUGACGGCCUUCGGGUUGUAAACCUCUUUUCAUAGGGACGAAGCGCAAGUGACGUUACCUAAUAGAAGAAGCACCGGCCAACUACGUGCAAGCAGCCCCGGUAAUACGGUAGGGUCCGAGCCUUGUCCGGAUUACUGGGCGGAAAGAGCUCGUAGCGGAUUGUCGCGUUGUUCGGGAAACCUCACAGCUUAACUUGUGGCCGUACGGCAAUACGGAAGAUUAAGAGUACUGUCUGGGAUUCGUGGAAUACUGGGUGUAGCGGUGAAUGCGCGGUUUCGGGAGCAACAACAGUGGCUAAGUGUGUCUUUUGAGUUGUAGCCGACGUGAUGAGGACACUUUGAACUAGCGGAAUUCAUAUCGGGUGGUCUAGGGAGAUUCUUCUUUGAGUGCGGCUGGGGGGCGCUUGUCUUCAGGGGGGCUUAAACGCGCCUUCGCGCUUUAAAAAAAAAAAAAAA
rnacentral:rRNA from 1 species